rfam:Picea glauca, whole genome shotgun sequence.
CUCAUGGAGAGUUUGAUCCUGGCUCAGGAUGAAUGUUGGUGGAAUGAUUAACACAUGGAAGUUAGACGAGAAGUGGUGUUUCCAGUGGCGGACAAGUGAGAAAUUCAUAAGAACUUUCCCUUAGGAGGGGAACAACAACUGGAAAUGACUGCUAAUACCCCAUAGGCUAAGGAGAAAACGGAGGAAUCCACCCAAGGAGGGGAUCGUGUCUUAUUAGUUAGUUGGUGAGGCAAUGGCUUACCAAUGCGAUGAUCAGUAGCUAGUCUAAGAGGAUGAUCAACCACAUUGGGACUGAGACACGACCCAAACUCUUACGAAAGGAAGCAGUGGGGAAUUCUUCGCAAUGGGUGAAAUCCUGACGGGGCAAUGCCACGUGAAGGUAGAAGGCCCACGGGUCAUGAAAUUAUUUUCUCGGAGAAGAAACAAUGACGGUAUAUGAGGAAUAAGCAUCAACCAACUCUGUGUCAAUAGCCAUGGUAAGACAUAGGAUGCAAGUGUUAUCUGGAAUGAUUGGGUGUAAAGCGUCUAUAGGUGGCUUUUUAAUUCCACUGUCAAAUCCCAGGGAUCAAACCUGGACAAGCGGUGAAAACUACUAAGCUGGAGUACGGGAGGGGCAGAGGGAAUUUUCGGUGGAGCGAUGAAAUGCAUUGAGAUCAGAAAGAAUACCAACGGCGAAAGAACUCUGUUGGGCCAACAUUGACACUGAGAGAUGAAAUCUAGGGGAGAAAAUGGGAUUAGAUACCCCAAUAGUUCUAGCCAUAAAUGAUGGAUACUGAGUGUUGUGCGUAUCGACCCACGCAGUGUUGUAGCUAAUGCGUUAAGUAUCCUGCCUAUGGAGUACAUUUGCAAGAAUGAAACUCAAAGGAAUUGACGGGGGCCCGCACAAGCAGUGGAGCAUAUGGCUCAAUUCGAUGCAAAGCAAAGAACCUUACCAGGGAUUGAAAUGUCAUGAAUCCUCUUGUGUCGUAAGGUGUUUGGUUAAGUCCUGCAAUGAACACAACCCUCGAGUUUAGUUUCUAGCAUUGAGUUUGGAACCCUUAACAGACUAUUGGUGAUAAGCUGAAGGAAGGUGAGGAUGACAUCAAGUCAUCAUGCCCCUUGUGCCCUAGGUGACACACAUGCUACAAUGACCAGAAAAAAGGGUCGUGACCCUGCGAGGGAAAGAUAACCUCAAAAACCUGGCCUCAGUUCGGAUUGCAGGCUACAACUUGCCUACAUGCAACCAAAAUCACUAGUAAUCGUCGGUCAUCCAUAUGGCGAGGAACCCGUUACUGGGACUUGUACAAAUUGCCCCUCACACUAUGGGAGUUGGCCAUGCCCCAAGUCAUUAUCUUAACCACAAGGAAGGAAAUCUCAAAGGAUGGGCUAGUGACUGGAGUGGGUGGGGGUGGGCGGAAUAAUAGAGAAAACAUAAUAU